rnacentral:rRNA from 1 species
AACGAACGCUGGCGGCAUGCCUAACACAUGCAAGUCGAACGAGACCUUCGGGUCUAGUGGCGCACGGGUGCGUAACGCGUGGGAACCUGCCCUUAGGUUCGGAAUAACUCCCCGAAAGGGGUGCUAAUACCGGAUAAUGUCUUCGGACCAAAGAUUUAUCGCCUUUGGAUGGGCCCGCGUUGGAUUAGCUAGUUGGUAGGGUAAAAGCCUACCAAGGCGACGAUCCAUAGCUGGUCUGAGAGGAUGAUCAGCCACACUGGGACUGAGACACGGCCCAGACUCCUGCGGGAGGCAGGAGUGGGGAGUAUUGGACGAUGGGCGAAAGCCUGAUCCAGCAAUGCCGCGUGAGUGAUGAAGGCCUUAGGGUUGUAAAGCUCCUUUACCCGGGAUGAUAAUGACAGUACCGGGAGAAUAAGCUCCGGCUAACUCCGUG